GUUCAGCUGAAGAGUCCCAAAUAGGACGAAACGUAUGUCCUGAAU
rnacentral:hammerhead_ribozyme from 1 species